rnacentral:rRNA from 1 species
GAUGAACGCUGGCGGCGUGCUUAACACAUGCAAGUCGAACGGGAAAUCUUUCAUUGAGACUUCGGUGGAUUUGAUUUAUUUCUAGUGGCGGACGGGUGAGUAACGCGUGGGUAACCUGCCUUAUACAGGGGGAUAACAGUCAGAAAUGGCUGCUAAUACCGCAUAAGCGCACAGAGCUGCAUGGCUCAGUGUGAAAAACUCCGGUGGUAUAAGAUGGACCCGCGUUGGAUUAGCUAGUUGGUGGGGUAACGGCCCACCAAGGCGACGAUCCAUAGCCGGCCUGAGAGGGUGAACGGCCACAUUGAGACUGAGGCACGGCCCAGACUCCUACGGGAGGAAGCAGUGGGGAAUAUUGCACAAUGGGGGAAACCCUGAUGAAGCGACGCCGCGUGAAGGAAGAAGUAUCUCGGUAUGUAAACUUCUAUCAGCAGGGAAGAUAGUGACGGUACCUGACUAAGAAGCCCCGGCUAACUACGUG